AAACAGUCUAAGAUUAAAAAUUUAGAAAAUUACAGUUAAAUUUAUAUAUUUAUAUAUGUAACACGCCUAAACAUGUCCUUCCCCCCAAACGUGUCUAUAUUCUCCUCGAAAGUGUCCGUAAUAUUCAUUGUUUCACUAACGUGUCCGUAAUAUUCAAUAUUCCACUAAUGUGUCUGAUAAUUUUUAUCGCCAAAACGAGUCCACUGUUAAACUUUUCUUUUAGUGCUAAUAUGCAUGCAUGUCUUUAAAUUUUGACUGAAAUUGCUUAAUGUCCAGUUGCAAGUACUUCGUGCUCAUUUAAAGCGAACACACAAAAAUGUCUAGUGCAGUUGAAUUAAUCGUUUAC
rnacentral:lncRNA from 1 species